rnacentral:rRNA from 3 species
GAGUUUGAUCUUGGCUCAGAUUGAACGCUGGCGGCAUGCCUUACACAUGCAAGUCGAACGGCAGCACGGGAGCUUGCUCCUGGUGGCGAGUGGCGAACGGGUGAGUAAUGCAUCGGAACGUAUCCUGGAGUGGGGGAUAACGUAGCGAAAGUUACGCUAAUACCGCAUAUUCUGUGAGCAGGAAAGCGGGGGACCUUCGGGCCUCGCGCUCUUGGAGCGGCCGAUGUCGGAUUAGCUAGUUGGUGAGGUAAAGGCUCACCAAGGCGACGAUCCGUAGCAGGUCUGAGAGGAUGAUCUGCCACACUGGAACUGAGACACGGUCCAGACUCCUACGGGAGGCAGCAGUGGGGAAUUUUGGACAAUGGGGGCAACCCUGAUCCAGCCAUGCCGCGUGAGUGAAGAAGGCCUCGGUUG